GUUUCUUCUCUGUGCUGACCCGUGUUAGAGCCCGGUCGACUAUGGACUGAAACCGCUACAAACUGUCAAGGACAAAGGACAGCUCUAGCGGACAGACCCAGGAGAGGAUUAUGCAUCACGCUAAACUGAGGGAAUCGCCUUGGCCUUAGAAAGAGGCAACAAGAAGUUUACACUAGAACUCAGGACACGGGGCGUCCUUCCUGGCCUCGUCACUUCUUAACUUUUCUGGGCCUGUUUCCAUCUCUGAACAGUGGUAUCAGCCAAAAAGACAAUACCUGGGCUGGAGUGUUUGUCGUCACUGGAGACAGUGAUUCGCUGACUUUUGGCUCACUUGGGGACGCCACUGACCCCUGAGACU